GACGAACGCUGGCGGCGUGCUUAACACAUGCAAGUCGAACGGAAAGGCCCUGCUUGCAGGGUACUCGAGUGGCGAACGGGUGAGUAACACGUGGGUGAUCUGCCCUGCACUUCGGGAUAAGCCUGGGAAACUGGGUCUAAUACCGGAUAGGAGCCAUUUUUAGUGUUAUGGUUGGAAAGUUUUUUCGGUGUAGGAUGAGCUCGCGGCCUAUCAGCUUGUUGGUGGGGUAAUGGCCUACCAAGGCGGCGACGGGUAGCCGGCCUGAGAGGGUGGACGGCCACAUUGGGACUGAGAUACGGCCCAGACUCCUACGGGAGGCAGCAGUGGGGAAUAUUGCACAAUGGGCGCAAGCCUGAUGCAGCGACGCCGCGGGGGGGAUGACGGCCUUCGGGUUGUAAACUCCUUUCGCUAGGGACGAAGCUUUUUGUGACGGUACCUAGAGAAGAAGCACCGGCUAACUACGUG
rnacentral:rRNA from 1 species